rnacentral:tRNA from 1 species
AUUUAUAUAGUUUAAUAAAAACAUUAUAUUUUCAAUAUAAAAAUAAAUAACAUAUUUUAUAAAUA